rnacentral:rRNA from 1 species
AGAGUUUGAUCCUGGCUCAGGAUGAACGCUGGCGGCGUGCCUAACACAUGCAAGUCGAACGAAGCUUGACGGAUGAUUUCUUCGGAAUGAAACCAGAUAUGACUUAGUGGCGGACGGGUGAGUAACACGUGAGCAACCUGCCUUUCAGAGGGGGAUAACGGCUGGAAACGGUCGCUAAUACCGCAUGAUGUGUUCGGAUGGCAUCAUCUGAACAUCAAAGAUUUAUCGCUGAAAGAUGGGCUCGCGUCUGAUUAGAUAGUUGGUGGGGUAACGGCCUACCAAGUCUACGAUCAGUAGCCGGACUGAGAGGUUGAACGGCCACAUUGGGACUGAGAUACGGCCCAGACUCCUACGGGAGGCAGCAGUGGGGAAUAUUGCACAAUGGGGGAAACCCUGAUGCAGCAACGCCGCGUGAAGGAUGACGGUUUUCGGAUUGUAAACUUCUUUUCUUAGUGACGAAGACAGUGACGGUAGCUAAGGAAUAAGCAUCGGCUAACUACGUGCCAGCAGCCGCGGUAAUACGUAGGAUGCAAGCGUUAUCCGGAUUUACUGGGUGUAAAGGGAGCGCAGGCGGGACUGCAAGUUGGAUGUGAAAUACCGUGGCUUAACCACGGAACUGCAUCCAAAACUGUAGUUCUUGAGUGAAGUAGAGGCAAGCGGAAUUCCGAGUGUAGCGGUGAAAUGCGUAGAUAUUCGGAGGAACACCAGUGGCGAAGGCGGCUUGCUGGGCUUUAACUGACGCUGAGGCUCGAAAGUGUGGGGAGCAAACAGGAUUAGAUACCCUGGUAGUCCACACUGUAAACGAUGAUAGCUAGGUGUGGGGGGUCUGACCCCUUCCGUGCCGGAGUUAACGCAAUAAGCUAUCCACCUGGGGAGUACGACCGCAAGGUUGAAACUCAAAGGAAUUGACGGGGGCCCGCACAA